ACUGGCUCCCACGUGGCAGUUGAAAAUGACGCCGUCUCUUUUAUUUUUAUUUUUCCCUUCGUUCCCCUCAUUCGAUUUCCCUCCCCGCCUUCGAUUUCUUUACCCCUUCCAGAACCCAUUCAUUUCCUCCUCCAGAUUUCUUCUACCCCUUGAAAUCUCCUUCGUGGCCCAUAACAGACCUAAUUCUUGCAACUUAUUCCAUCUUUAACCAUAGAAGUUGACCCACGAAACCAACUUAUUUGGUCCUCUAGCAUGACGUCUGUAGAAUCAUUCAUCUUCAUCAAGCACGGCAACCAAGCACGAUUCCUCUUCAUCAAGCACUAUUCCCCCCACUCCCACGAAAGCCCCACCUUCCCACUCGAAAUCGUAAUCCAUUCGAAGCCCCUAACCAUUAUCCUACCCGCGGGGUAAUCCCUUGAGGUAAUUUGUCCAAAAUCUAACCCUAACCCUAACAUCAUAAAUAUAUAAUGAGCUGUUAAGGAGCCAAAAAGAGCUCGAGAUGAAACUCGAUGACAUCAAGAGGAGGGAAAUUGAGCUUUGUAAGAGAACGGAUGAGAUCGAGAAGAGAGAGUUGGGGCUUCUGGUGCAAGAAGUUGAAAUAUUGCGUUGACGCAGAUUACUCCAGCUAUAUUUGGCUUUUGUAGUUAUUGUGUCAUGUUAUGUAAUAAUACGAAGGUGAUUUUGGAACUUGGUAUAUGUUGUAAAAUUUGUAGGCUUAUGUUAGACUAAUUAGUUGGUGUUUACCAGAGUUCACCAACGAAUUUUGUGAAAUUUGUACUUAGUUUAAGUUUCUAAAGUGAUUUGGGAUUGAGUUUUGUAUAAAUGAAUGAUUAGUUUAA